rnacentral:rRNA from 1 species
GAUUAACGCUGGCGGCGUGCAUAACACAUGCAAGUCGAACGAUGAAACUUAGUAGACUUCUUCGGAAAGACACUAAGCGGAUUAGUGGCGAACGGGUGAGUAACGCGUGAGUAACCUGCCUUACACAAGGGGAUAGCCCUUGGAAACGAAGAAUAAUACCCUAUAAAACUAUAAAAGCACAUGCUAGAAUGGUCAAAGUGCUAGCGGUGUAAGAUGGACUUGCGUCUGAUUAGCUAGUUGGUGAGAUAAAAGCUCACCAAGGCAACGAUCAGUAGCCGGCUUGAGAGAGUGUACGGCCACAUUGGGACUGAGACACGGCCCAGACUCCUACGGGAGGCAGCAGUGGGGAAUUUUGCACAAUGGGGGAAACCCUGAUGCAGCGACGCCGCGUGAUUUAGAAGGCCUUCGGGUUGUAAAAAUCUUUUGUAUAGGAAGAAAAUGACAGUACUAUACGAAUAAGGUCCGGCUAAUUACGUG